AUUUGAUGGUGAUGGCAGCUGCACAUAAUCUCUUGAACUGCUCCCAAUACUCAUACAAUGGCUCCCCAGUCUAUUAGAGAAUGCCAAAGAUUUCAUUCCUUAUACU